AUUGAACGCUGGCGGCAGGCCUAACACAUGCAAGUCGAGCGCGCGGCGGCCGGGUGUGUAUUGUCUGGGGAACUGCCCGCGGGAGGGGGUUAACAACUGUAAACGGUAGCUAUUAUCGCAUAUCCUAUCGUGUGCCCAGAUGGGAUUUGCUAGUAGGUGGGGUAACGGCUCACCUCGGCGACGAUCCCCAGCUGGUCUGAGAGGAUGACCCGCCACACUGGAACUGAGACACGGUCCAGACUCCUACGGGAGGCAGCAGUGGGGAAUAUUGCACAAUGGGCGCAAGCCUGAUGCAGCCAUGCCGCGUGUAUGAAGAAGGCCUUCGGGUUGUAAAGCACUUUCAGCGGGGAGGCGUUACCCGCAGAAGAAGCAACGGCUAACUCCGUGCCAGCAGCCGCGGUAAUUC
rnacentral:rRNA from 1 species